rnacentral:rRNA from 1 species
GAUGAACGCUAGCGACAGGCUUAACACAUGCAAGUCGAGGGGCAGCAUUGUUUGUAGCAAUACAGACAGAUGGCGACCGGCGCACGGGUGAGUAACGCGUAUGCAACCUGCCUAUCAGAGGGGGAUAACCCGGCGAAAGUCGGACUAAUACCGCAUGAAGCAGGGAUCCCGCAUGGGAAUAUUUGCUAAAGAUUCAUCGCUGAUAGAUAGGCAUGCGUUCCAUUAGGCAGUUGGCGGGGUAACGGCCCACCAAACCGACGAUGGAUAGGGGUUCUGAGAGGAAGGUCCCCCACAUUGGUACUGAGACACGGACCAAACUCCUACGGGAGGCAGCAGUGAGGAAUAUUGGUCAAUGGCCGAGAGGCUGAGCCAGCCAAGUCGCGUGAGGGAUGAAGGUUCUAUGGAUCGUAAACCUCUUUUAUAAGGGAAUAAAGUGCGGGACGUGUCCCGUUUUGUAUGUACCUUAUGAAUAAGGAUCGGCUAACUCCGUGCCAGCAGCCGCGGUAAUACGGAGGAUCCGAGCGUUAUCCGGAUUUAUUGGGUUUAAAGGGUGCGUGGGCGGCCUUUUAAGUCAGCGGUGAAAGUCUGUGGCUCAACCAUAGAAUUGCCGUUGAAACUGGGGGGCUUGAGUAUGUUUGAGGCAGGCGGAAUGCGUGGUGUAGCGGUGAAAUGCUUAGAUAUCACGCAGAACCCCGAUUGCGAAGGCAGCCUGCCAAGCCAUUACUGACGCUGAUGCACGAAAGCGUGGGGAUCAAACAGGAUUAGAUACCCUGGUAGUCCACGCAGUAAACGAUGAUCACUAGCUGUUUGCGAUACAUUGUAAGCGGCACAGCGAAAGCGUUAAGUGAUCCACCUGGGGAGUACGCCGGCAACGGUGAAACUCAAAGGAAUUGACGGGGGCCCGCACAAGCGGAGGAACAUGUGGUUUAAUUCGAUGAUACGCGAGGAACCUUACCCGGGUUUGAACGCAUUCGGACCGAGGUGGAAACACCUUUUCUAGCAAUAGCCGUUUGCGAGGUGCUGCAUGGUUGUCGUCAGCUCGUGCCGUGAGGUGUCGGCUUAAGUGCCAUAACGAGCGCAACCCUUGCCACUAGUUACUAACAGGUGAUGCUGAGGACUCUGGUGGGACUGCCAGCGUAAGCUGCGAGGAAGGCGGGGAUGACGUCAAAUCAGCACGGCCCUUACAUCCGGGGCGACACACGUGUUACAAUGGCGUGGACAAAGGGAGGCCACCUGGCGACAGGGAGCGAAUCCCCAAACCACGUCUCAGUUCGGAUCGGAGUCUGCAACCCGACUCCGUGAAGCUGGAUUCGCUAGUAAUCGCGCAUCAGCCAUGGCGCGGUGAAUACGUUCCCGGGCCUUGUACACACCGCCCGUCAAGCCAUGGGAGCCGGGGGUACCUGAAGUCCGUAACCGCGAGGAUCGGCCUAGGGUAAAACUGGUGACUGGG